rnacentral:rRNA from 1 species
UACAGAGGUGGCAAGCGUUGUUCGGAAUUACUGGGCGAAAGGGCGCGUAGGCGGCCUACUAAGUCAGACGUGAAAUCCCCCGGCUUAACCUGGGAACUGCGUCUGAUACUGGAAGGCUUGAGGAUGGGAGAGGGAUGUAGAAUUCCAGGUGUAGCGGUGAAAUGCGUAGAUAUCGGGAGGAACACCAGUGGCGAAGGCGACUUCCUGGCCUGUUCUUGGCGCUGAGGCGCGAAAGCUAGGGUAGCAAACGGG